CCAAUUUGUAGUAUUAAUUACAUUUCGUGUUCUAUUCAAUUGCAUAGUUUCUCUAUUGUUUUGUUUUUAAAAAUUUUUAAGGCACCAAAAUAAAAUGAUCGCUGAUAAUUCAAUUUUCGAUAAAAGUUGCAAGCAAUUAAGUUCAUGCAAAGAAAACGGGAAAAAAUUCUAUUACUUCCUGCUUGUAUUUCGUUAUUGUUGUUGAUCUAAUCAAUCACCCAACUAAAUAAAAUUGACCUUGAAAACAUUUUUUCAAAAAAUUAACUAUCACACAAUGCUCUUAAAAUUAAUCAAAAAAUUUCUAACUACCCAAAAUAAAACGAAUAAUAUCAAAGGUUAAUUCCACUUCAAUGUGUGUUUAUUUUUCACAAACAAUAAAAAUGUAAUUUUAACAAAGAUCAGUGUGCUACACACAAAGUACAACAAUGCGCUUGCAGUUGUGCACUUCUACACGUAUUCUCCUUUCCAACGGUAUAAAUUUUAUCCAGUCUAAUUAUAUACAGAUAAAAUAAAAAUAAACAAAAUAUAUAUGUAAACGUUAUUCUUUAAACUUAAAAACGCAAUUAAUCAAAACAAGAAUAUUAGUUGAAUUUAUGGAAACGCAUACAGAAUGGCUGUUAAUGAGAAGUGGAAGGAGCUAGCCACAUUGCUGAAUGCUGAAGGGCCACUCCUGAAGGAACGUUAGGGAUGGAAAAAAAUAUGGUAUAUGUUAAAAAGGCGUUAUGUGCAAACAAUUUGGAGUCUAGAGCAACAUGGAGUGGACCCUUCAAUAAGCAUAUAUAAUAUUAACAAAUAGCGACGAAUGUGUUUUUAAGAUUUGUGGAAUUUUCGCGGCCGUUGAGGGCAUUCAAGAUUCUCAUGAAAAAAAUUACCACAACAUUCCAUGUGGAUUAGUGAGUGCCAGCAAAAAAUUAUGAAUAAAAGCACAGAGUUUAGAGGGGAAAAAGGCAUAACAUCAGAAUGGAGCAGUUACAACAAGAAAAAGUUAAAAUAAAAAUGAGAAUGCUUAAAAAUGAAUUAUCAAAAUAAAUACACUCCAGUUACUUAUGCACAAACAA